GCAUUAGCAAAAUCUAAUGUCGGGAUUGAGACCCCGUAUGAUCUACAGGCGUAAUAACGCCAGCAUAUGCUGGUUUUUU
rnacentral:sRNA from 1 species